GAGAUCGUAGCUCAGUCGGUAGAGCAACUGACUUUUAAUCCGUAGGUCAUGGGUUCAAGUCCCAUCGAUCUCA
rnacentral:tRNA from 1 species